GACGAGCGGCGGACGGGUGAGUAAUGCAUAGGAAUCUGCCCGAUAGUGGGGGAUAACCUGGGGAAACCCAGGCUAAUACCGCAUACGUCCUACGGGAGAAAGGGGGCUUCGGCUCCCGCUAUUGGAUGAGCCUAUGUCGGAUUAGCUAGUUGGUAAGGUAAUGGCUUACCAAGGCAACGAUCCGUAGCUGGUCUGAGAGGAUGAUCAGCCACAUCGGGACUGAGACACGGCCCGAACUCCUACGGGAGGCAGCAGUGGGGAAUAUUGGACAAUGGGGGCAACCCUGAUCCAGCCAUGCCGCGUGUGUGAAGAAGGCCCUCGGGUUGUAAAGCACUUUCAGCGAGGAAGAACGCCUAUCGGUUAAUACCCGGUAGGAAAGACAUCACUCGCAGAAGAAGCACCGGCUAACUCCGUGCCAGCAGCCGCGGUAAUACGGAGGGUGCAAGCGUUAAUCGGAAUUACUGGGCGUAAAGCGCGCGUAGGUGGCUUGAUAAGCCGGUUGUGAAAGCCCCGGGCUCAACCUGGGAACGGCAUCCGGAACUGUCAGGCUAGAGUGCAGGAGAGGAAGGUAGAAUUCCCGGUGUAGCGGUGAAAUGCGUAGAGAUCGGGAGGAAUACCAGUGGCGAAGGCGGCCUUCUGGACUGACACUGACACUGAGGUGCGAAAGCGUGGGUAGCAAACAGGAUUAGAUACCCUGGUAGUCCACGCCGUAAACGAUGUCGACCAGCCGUUGGGUGCCUAGAGCACUUUGUGGCGAAGUUAACGCGAUAAGUCGACCGCCUGGGGAGUACGGCCGCAAG
rnacentral:rRNA from 1 species